UACGGAGGGUGCAAGCGUUGUCCGGAUUCACUGGGUUUAAAGGGUGCGUAGGAGGGCAGGUAAGUCCGUGGUGAAAUCUCUGAGCUUAACUCAGAAACUGCCGUGGAUACUACCGGUCUUGAAUAUCGUGGAGGUGAGCGGAAUAUGUCAUGUAGCGGUGAAAUGCUUAGAUAUGACAUAGAACACCAAUUGCGAAGGCAGCUCACUACCCGAAUAUUGACUCUGAGGCACGAAAGCGUGGGGAUCAAACAGGA
rnacentral:rRNA from 1 species